GGUUUGUGCUGGCUGAUUGCCUAGCCAAGAAAGGUGUUCGAUUAAAUAAAGGUAAUCUCUGUUUUGAGGUACAACAGAAAACUACUUGACGAAAAGGAAUUUGGAGAAGCUCUAUAUGGGAGUGUUCAUUAUGAGCUUUUUUUUCUCUUCAGCCUCAAGAGUCAUAAUAUACUUCGACUUGGAUUCCUAGCUGAAGACACCCUCUAUUUAUGUGUUCGACUGUUUAGAUGCAGGAAUGAUUGCCAAUGCGUUUAUAGAGUCUCAGAAGAUCGGUCUUGAGUACAUGGAUGUUGAAGGUCUUAAGAAGCUUAACAAGAACAAGAACUUGGUCAAGAAGCUUGCAAAGAAGUUUCAUGCUUUCUAGCCUCAGAAGCUGUUAUCAAGCAAAUUCCCCGUCUUCUUGGACCUGGUGUUAACA